rnacentral:rRNA from 1 species
CUAUUAGAUGAGCCUAUAUUAGAUUAGCUAGUUGGUGGAGUAAUAGCCUACCAAGGCAAUGAUCUAUAGCUGAUCUGAGAGGAUGAUCAGCCACACUGGAACUGAGAUACGGUCCAGACUCCUACGGGAGGCAGCAGUGGGGAAUAUUGGACAAUGGGCGAAAGCCUGAUCCAGCCAUGCCGCAUGAGUGAAGAAGGCCUUUGGGUUGUAAAGCUCUUUUAGUGAGGAAGAUAAUGACGGUACUCACAGAAGAAGUCCUGGCUAACUCCGUGCCAGCAGCCGCGGUAAUACGGAGAGGGCUAGCGUUAUUCGGAAUUAUUGGGCGUAAAGGGCGCGUAGGCUGAUUAAUAAGUUAAAAGUGAAAUCCCGAGGCUUAACCUUGGAAUUGCUUUUAAAACUAUUAAUCUAGAGAUUGAAAGAGGAUAGAGGAAUUCCUGAUGUAGAGGUAAAAUUCGUAAAUAUUAGGAGGAACACCAGUGGCGAAGGCGUCUAUCUGGUUCAAAUCUGACGCUGAAGCGCGAAGGCGUGGGGAGCAAACAGGAUUAGAUACCCUGGUAGUCCACGCUGUAAACGAUGAAUGUUAAAUAUGGGAAGUUUAC